CCUACGGGAGGCAGCAGUAGGGAAUCUUCCACAAUGGGCGAAAGCCUGAUGGAGCAACGCCGCGUGGGUGAAGAAGGUCUUCGGAUCGUAAAACCCUGUUGUUAGAGAAGAAAGUGCGUGAGAGUAACUGUUCACGUUUCGACGGUAUCUAACCAGAAAGCCACGGCUAACUACGUGCCAGCAGCCGCGGUAAUACGUAGGUGGCAAGCGUUAUCCGGAUUUAUUGGGCGUAAAGGGAACGCAGGCGGUCUUUUAAGUCUGAUGGGAAAGCCUUCGGCUUAACCGGAGUAGUGCAUGGGAAACUGGGAGACUUGAGUGCAGAAGAGGAGAGUGGAACUCCAUGUGUAGCGGUGAAAUGCGUAGAUAUAUGGAAGAACACCAGUGGCGAAAGCGGCUCUCUGGUCUGUAACUGACGCUGAGGUUCGAAAGCGUGGGUAGCAAACAGGAUUAGAUACCCGGGUAGUC
rnacentral:rRNA from 1 species